rnacentral:rRNA from 1 species
GUACACUCCUACGGGAGGCAGCAGUGGGGAAUAUUGGACAAUGGGCGCAAGCCUGAUCCAGCCAUGCCGCGUGAGUGAUGAAGGCCCUAGGGUUGUAAAGCUCUUUCACCGGUGAAGAUAAUGACGGUAACCGGAGAAGAAGCCCCGGCUAACUUCGUGCCAGCAGCCGCGGUAAUACGAAGGGGGCUAGCGUUGUUCGGAUUUACUGGGCGUAAAGCGCACGUAGGCGGACUAUUAAGUCAGGGGUGAAAUCCCGGGGCUCAACCCCGGAACUGCCUUUGAUACUGGUAGUCUUGAGUUCGAGAGAGGUGAGUGGAAUUCCGAGUGUAGAGGUGAAAUUCGUAGAUAUUCGGAGGAACACCAGUGGCGAAGGCGGCUCACUGGCUCGAUACUGACGCUGAGGUGCGAAAGCGUGGGGAGCAAACAGGAUUAGAUACCCUUGUAGUCCCA